rnacentral:tRNA from 1 species
GCUCGCCUAGCCCAACUGGCAGAGGCGCCGGUCUCAGAAACCGGAGGAUCGGGGUUCGAAUCCCCGGGCGAGUA